rnacentral:rRNA from 4 species
CUGCUGAGGCUAAGCCCUUGUUCUAUAGAUUUGU